rnacentral:lncRNA from 10 species
GGAUGGUCAGGGUGGGCUUCACGGAGAAGCUGACCUUGCAGCAGAUGCUUGAGGGAGGUGAGCGAGUUGGCCAUGUGAGUGGGUGUCUGGGUGAAGAGUGUUGUAGGCAGUGAAACAGCCAGUGCAAAGGCCCUGGGGCAGGAGCAUGCCUUGAGUGUUCCAGAACAGCAAGAGGGCCUGGAGGGGUAGAGCAGAGCAACCAGGAGGAGAGGCAGUCAGAGAGGAGAUAGGAGGUGGUAGAAAAGGCAGUCAGGGAGCUGAUGGGAGGCAGUAGGAGAGGCGGUCAGGGAGGUGAUGGGAGGUGGGAGGAGAGGCAGUCAGGGAGGUGAUGGGAGGUGGGAAGAGAGGCAGUCAGGGAGGUGAUGGGAG